AUGGUCCAAAUACUAUCCUUGAUCCACAACGGAGAUGGUAGACUGAGUAGCAUGCCCUACAUACCGGCAAACGUCGCAAACCUAAAGGCAAAGUACCAUAGAGAGAGCAGGUUGGCUGACAUAGAAGACAUGAUAGCCUACUUCGAAGAGAAAGCAAAAGCAGAUGCCGAUUUCUUCUACAGGAUAAGAUUGGACGAUGAGGACCGUGUCAGAAACAUGUAUUGGGUGGAUGGUGCUGCAAGAACAGCGUACAAACAUUUCCGUGAUUGCAUUUUCUUCGAUGCGACAUAUCUCACUAAUAUGUACAAGAUGCCCUGCGCUCCAUUCAUAGGAAUAAAUAAGCACAAUCAGUCAUUGCAGUUCAGUUGCAGACUCGUUCGGAACGAAGAUACGAUUGGUUACACUUGGCUGUUCAAAACCUUCUCGGAGUGCAUGGGUGGACUUGCUCCGAUGAACAUAAUAACAUACCGGGAUUUUAGCAUGCGUGCAGGCAUAGAGGAGGUCUUUCCGUUGGCAGUGCACAGGCACUGCAGGUGGCAUAUUAUUAAGAAGGCCGAGGAGAUGCUAGGACAAUUCUUUGGUGACCUUCCAGAGCUACACAAGGCAUUCGAGUUGUGCAUGGACCACACACUACUACAAGAUGCUGCUAACGCGACACUACGAUUAGAGACCCUUCGACGAAACUGUGUGCGAUGCCAUAAUCGCAAACAGUGGUAUAAAAAACCCGUCAAAAAGGUGCAAAACAUUUGCAAUGGAGGAUGCAUCAAACACAUUUCAGAUUUUAGUUGCGUGUGCGAUUGA
rnacentral:rRNA from 1 species